UCUUCCUUGAGGGGCACGCAGCACUCAUCCACUCUGGAAGGACGCCACAGAGGAAGGGCGGAGCAGAGAUGGGUUCUCACGACGCAUCCCACCUGCACAAACCUUCAGAACCUCCUGGCUUCCGGAACCGUGAAAACCAUUUUUGCUGUUCUUUUUGCUCUACCCCCCCCCCCCCCCCCGUCUGGAAUGUUUUGUUAGGACAGUGUAGGUGAAGGUCAGCCGAGAGGCUACUAACAUUUGUGCCUUGUUUUUUAACUUGAGUUCCCUUGCUCGUGGGCAAAACGCCCUGGCGUGAGACUGCAGAGCUGAAUGCUGCCGUGUGCUUAGCUUAUUAAGAAACUGACAGGACCCGGAUGAGCCGGUCACAUGGUGGCAGCUCUGAAGCCGGUAAGCCAAUGAUAAUUUGUUACAGGGCUGGGUUAUUCACAGCAGACUGUGCUCUAUAUUGCUUAUUUUUAAGGCAAGUCCUUAAAGUUGUUAGGUUACACACGAGCUGUGCAUCACCUUUCUUUCCUUGCAGAUGGUCUCUAUUUUCACAUUCCAUUCCUGAGUAUGAAGUCACAGUGAUUGGGCCCCUGCCUGGGCUCUGUUCCGACCGGGCCUUCAGCCUGUGUGCUUAGAACGGGAGGCAUUUCCAUGUCCUAUUUACACUCAUUUGGAUAGCAGAACAUUCUAAGUUCCAAUGAGAACACACUAGGCUCUUAACAAUAGAGAUACCAUAUUGGACCGAUAAUGGGUUUCUUCGGGAAACCUGAUGAUAAAACUCCCAAACAUUCAAUAUUCACCCGAAUUUCCAACUGUCUCCGUUUCUCUGUCAUGAGACACAUCAAAUGGCACAGAGAAUUUGAAAUUAAAAAUCCGAAGAAUGUGGAAAACCAGCACAAAUACCAGAUAAGCACAUAGAGAAUUGUGGAAUCCUCUAAGCUUUUAUAAGAAGAAUCAGAAAAGUCUGAGAAAUCAAAGCAGAUGGAGAAUCAUCAGUACAUGGCAACAUGAACUUAAAGGAAGGUAUUGGUUUUGUCCAUUUCAGCUUCCCCAGCUCCUUGCCCUCCACAACUGCACUCAUGAGGAACUAGACACAUUUCACUAUAAAGCUUCACUACACAUCUUGCCCCUUGCACUUUUGCAGGAAAUAGUUAGACCAACUCAGCCACAUAACAUAGUCUGUUGUUUACUAUUGAAAAACUGUUCCAACAUCUGUUUACACACCUUCCUCACGGUGAAUUUAUAUUGUUUACUGGCAGGAUCUUCCCAACACUGGUGCCUUGUUUGUAUUUUCUAUUUGCCUUUCUCACGACCCUGUUAUUUCUUUCAUUUUUCAUUUCCAAUCCCCCGACAGUUUAGAAGCUCUAUAUUGUAUUUUACACGUUAAACAUUACCCUUAAGCUAACUUUCUAGAUACUGAACGGCAUGUUUCUCUGUAAGUGCAUGAAGUUCUUCAGUAUUUUUGUCUUCAUCCCUUAUAAGACACAACCUCAUGAUGAUACAGUUAUUUGUUCAACAACUUCUGUUAUUUUUUAAAAUUUAGUUUUAAAUUGAAAUUUUAUUUCAACACACACACAGGUAUGCACAUACAUGCAGAUGCUCACACACACCACACACACACACACACACACACACACACACACACACACAUGCAUGCAUGGGACGGGGGUUUGGAGAGACAGCUCAGUUGGUAAAGAACUUGCCAUGUAAUCGUGAGGACCUGAGUUCAGACCCCUGACACCCAUGUGAAAAUGGUAAACCCAACACUGGAGAGGGAGAGACAGAAAUACUCCUGGGACUUUUCAGCCAGCCAUCCUAGCAGAAUUGGCAAGCCCCAAAUUCAGUGAGAGAAGCUAUCUCUAAAAACAAGGUGGAAAUCGGUUGAAGACAAUUGCCGUCAACCUCCGGGUUCCACGUGCACAUGCAGGCAGGCACAAAUGUCCAUGCCCAUACAAAACAUGAAAAAGUGGUCAUUAUACAGUCAAUACAUACUCAAUAAUUUUUAAAUAUCUUUCCUGAUGGCAUUUGCUUCCUAUAACUCAGCCUUAUAAACUAAUGGAUUUGUUUGAUUUUACUUUUAUGUUUAUUUACAUUUGAAAAGAUUUUUAGAUAAUUCUUUGAGACUUUCAUAUAUUUUUAUCAUAUUCAUCCCUACUUCCCCAACUUCUCCCAAAUCUACUCUUUCCAUUCCUACCUUGUUUUGUUUGUUUGUUUGUUUGUUUGUUUGUUUGUUUGUUUUGAGACAGGGUUUCUCUGUGUAGUUUUGGUGCCUGUCCUGGAUCCUGCUCUGUAGACCAGGCUGGCCUCGAACUCACAGAGAUCCUAAAGGCGUGUGCCACCACCGCCCGGCCCAUUCCUACCUUCUUACCUCCCAACUUUGAAUCGCCUCUGUCCCCCCUCCCUCCUCCUCUCCCUUCUUUAAACACAUCAGUCCGACCUGUGCUAUCCAUAUAUUAUUGGCAGUGGGGCUUUCCAUGAAGUGUGGUUCACUUACCAUGGGUAACAUCAUGAAACAAAAGUGACUGUCCUCUCCCAGAACUUAUGUAAUACCAAUAGCUUCUCAGCCAGUGGUGGGAUUUUCAUGCCCACAUCCCUCCCAUUCCAUGCUGGCACUUUGUCUAGCUUGAGCAUUUGGAGGUCUUGUGCAUGCUGUCAUAAUUGCCGUAAGUUUAUGUGUGCAAGUGCCUUGUUGUGUCCAGAAAACACUAAUAUUAUCCACCAUGUCUGGGUCUUACAGUCUUUCCAGCUACCCCAUGUUCCUAGGAUAUCACUGAGCUUUUGGGAGAGGGGUAUGAGUGCACCCUCUUUCUCUCUCUCUGUCUCUGUCUCUCUGUCUCUGUCUCUGUCUCUCUGUCUCUCUCUGUCUCUGUCUCUCUGUCUCUCUGUCUCUCUCUGUAUGUGUGUGUGUUUUAUAAUGGGUAGACAAUAACCCAACUAGACACCAUAUGCUAGUGAAUAAAAAAACAAACAAACAACAACAACAAUAACAAAAAAAACAAAAAAAAAAACAGUACCAGAAAGGGGUUACUUCUUUUCAGGUUGUUGGCCAAUGAGUCUAUAAAUUUUA